rnacentral:rRNA from 1 species
CGCGUAGGCGGACUUUUAAGUGAGAUGUGAAAUACCCGGGCUCAACCUGGGAGCUGCAUUUCAAACUGGAAGUCUAGAGUGCAGGAGAGGAGAAGGGAAUUCCUAGUGUAGCGGUGAAAUGCGUAGAGAUUAGGAAGAACACCAGUGGCGAAGGCGCUUCUCUGGACUGUAACUGACGCUGAGGCUCGAAAGCGUGGGGAGCAAACAGGAUUAGAUACCCUCGUA